rnacentral:rRNA from 1 species
AUUGAACGCUGGCGGCAGGCCUAACACAUGCAAGUCGAGCGAGCGGCGGACGGGUGAGUAAUGUCUGGGAAACUGCCUGAUGGAGGGGGAUAACUACUGGAAACGGUAGCUAAUACCGCAUACCAUCAGAUGUGCCCAGGUGGGAGUAGCUAGUAGGUGGGGGAACGGCUCACCUAGGCGACGAUCCCUAGAUGGUCUGAGAGGAUGACCAGGCACACUGGAACUGUGACACGGUCCAGACGCCUACGGGAGGCAGCAGUGGGGAAUAUUGCGCAGUGGGCGCAAGCCUGAUGCAGCCAUGCCUCGUGUGUUAAGAAGGCCUUCGGGGUGUAAAGCACUUUCAGCGGGUAGGCGUUGCCCGCAGAAGAAGCACCGGCUAACUCCGUGCCAGCAGCCGCGGUAAUAC